UACGUAGGGUGCAAGCGUUAAUCGGAAUUACUGGGCGUAAAGCGUGCGCAGGCGGCUCUGCAAGUCGAGUGUGAAAUCCCCGAGCUUAACUUGGGAAUUGCGCUCGAAACUAUGGAGCUGGAGUGUGGCAGAGGAAGGUGGAAUUCCACGUGUAGCGGUGAAAUGCGUAGAGAUGUGGAGGAACACCGAUGGCGAAGGCAGCCUUCUGGGCCAACACUGACGCUCAUGCACGAAAGCGUGGGGAGCAAACAGG
rnacentral:rRNA from 1 species